rnacentral:rRNA from 1 species
UGGGGAAUAUUGCACAAUUGGCGCAAGCCUGAUGCAGCCAUGCCGCGUGUAUGAAGAAGGCCUUCGGGUUGUAAAGUACUUUCAGUCGGGAGGAAGGUGGUAAGGUUAAUAACCUUGGCAAUUGACGUUACCGACAGAAGAAGCACCGGCUAACUCCGUGCCAGCAGCCGCGGUAAUACGGUGGGUGCAAGCGUUAAUCGGAAUUACUGGGCGUAAAGCGCACGCAGGCGGUUGAUUGAGUCAGAUGUGAAAUCCCCGGGCUUAACCCGUGAAUUGCAUCUUGUACUGGUCAGCUAGAGUCUUGUAGAGGGGGGUAGAAUUCCAUGUGUAGCGGUGAAAUGCGUAGAGAUGUGGAGGAAUACCGGUGGCGAAGGCGGCCCCAUGAACAAAGACUGACGCUCAGGUGCGAAAGCGUGGGGAGCAAACAGG